rnacentral:rRNA from 1 species
AACGAACGCUGGCGGCAUGCCUAACACAUGCAAGUCGAACGAGACCUUCGGGACUGGUUGCGCACGCGUGCGGAACGCGUGGGAACCUGCCCUUAGGUUCGGAAUAACACCCCGUCGGGGGUGCUAACACCGGGUAAUUUCUUCGGAUCAAAGGUUUAUCGUGUUUGUGUGGGCGGGCGUUGUAUUGCCUAGUUGGUAGGGUAAAAGCCUACCACGGCGAGGCUACAUAGCUGGUCUGAGAGGAUGGGCGGCCACUCUGGGACUGAGCAACGGCCGAGACUCUUGGGGGAGGCAGGAGUGCGGAAUACUGGAAAACCGGGUAAAGGAUGAUGCAGUAAUGCCGCGUGAGUGCUUAAGUUCUUAGAGUUGUAAAGCACUUUUACCCGGGAUGAUAAUGACAGUACCGAGAGAAUAAGCUCCGGCUAACUCCGUG